rnacentral:tRNA from 1 species
UGCUGUGGCUCAGUUGGUAGAGCAGCUGAUUCGUAAUCAGCAGGUCGGCGGUUCGAGUCCGCCCAGC